rnacentral:rRNA from 1 species
AUUGAACGCUGGCGGCAUGCCUUACACAUGCAAGUCGAACGGUAACGCGGGGCAACCUGGCGACGAGUGGCGAACGGGUGAGUAAUGUAUCGGAACGUGCCCAGUUGUGGGGGAUAACUGCUCGAAAGAGCAGCUAAUACCGCAUACGACCUGAGGGUGAAAGCGGGGGAUCGCAAGACCUCGCGCAAUUGGAGCGGCCGAUAUCAGAUUAGGUAGUUGGUGGGGUAAAGGCCUACCAAGCCUACGAUCUGUAGCUGGUCUGAGAGGACGACCAGCCACACUGGGAGUGAGACACGGCCCAGACUCCUACGGGAGGCAGGAGUGGGGAAUUUUGGACAAUGGGGGCAACCCUGAUCCAGCCAUGCCGCGUGCGGGAAGAAGGCCUUCGGGUUGUAAACCGCUUUUGUCAGGGAAGAAAUCCUUUGAACUAAUACUUCGGAGGGAUGACGGUACCUGAAGAAUAAGCACCGGCUAACUACGUGCCAGCCGCCGCCGUAAAAC